CCUACGGGUGGCAGCAGUGAGGAAUAUUGGUCAAUGGGCGCGAGCCUGAACCAGCCAAGUAGCGUGAAGGAUGACUGCCCUACGGGUUGUAAACUUCUUUUAUAAAGGAAUAAAGUGAGGCACGUGUGCCUUUUUGUAUGUACUUUAUGAAUAAGGAUCGGCUAACUCCGUGCCAGCAGCCGCGGUAAUACGGAGGAUCCGAGCGUUAUCCGGAUUUAUUGGGUUUAAAGGGAGCGUAGAUGGGUUGUUAAGUCAGUUGUGAAAGUUUGCGGCUCAACCGUAAGAUUGCAAUUGAUACUGGCGGCCUGGAGUAGGAGAGAGGUAGGCGGAAUGCGUGGUGUAGCGGUGAAAUGCUUAGAUAUCGCGAAGAACUCCGAUUGCGAAGGCAGCUUACUGGACUGACACUGACGUUGAGGCUCGAAAGUGUGGGUAUCGAACAGGAUUAGAUACCCUAGUAGUC
rnacentral:rRNA from 1 species